AAAGUGGGUCAAGCGGUCGCUCCCCGCUCUGCCAUCAUAGAUGGCGUUUGGCGAGGAGAGGAAAGUCCGGACUCCAUAGGACAGGGUGGCCGUUAACGGCGGCCCCGAGCAAUCGGGGGAAAGUGCCACAGAAAAGAUACCGCCCCGUGAAAUACUGAAGGACUUGGCGGAGCAGCUUGCAGAAGACCGCAGCUUUACGUUGCGGGCUCGGCCGAAAGCUAAAGGACUUUUAUCUCACGGGGUAAGGGUGAAAAGGCGAGGUAAGAGCUCACCGGUUUGCCAGAGAUGGUGAAUGCUAGGUAAACCCCACCCGGAGCAAGACCAAAUAGGAGGGUUGGGUGGUCCGCCCUUGGCCCUCGGGUAAGGUCGCCUGAUCCCAUGAGCAAUCAUGGGGCAAGAGGAAUGAUCGCUCUGGCUUCUC
rnacentral:RNase_P_RNA from 1 species